rnacentral:rRNA from 1 species
AGUCGAACGCUUCUUUUUCCACCGUGAGCUUGCUCCACCGGAAAAAGAGGAGUGGCGAACGGGUGAGUAACACGUGGGUAACCUGCCCAUCAGAAGGGGAUAACACUUGGAAACAGGUGCUAAUACCGUAUAACAAUCAAAACCGCAUGGUUUUGAUUUGAAAGGCGCUUUCGGGUGUCGCUGAUGGAUGGACCCGCGGUGCAUUAGCUAGUUGGUGAGGUAACGGCUCACCAAGGCCACGAUGCAUAGCCGACCUGAGAGGGUGAUCGGCCACAUUGGGACUGAGACACGGCCCAAACUCCUACGGGAGGCAGCAGUAGGGAAUCUUCGGCAAUGGACGAAAGUCUGACCGAGCAACGCCGCGUGAGUGAAGAAGGUUUUCGGAUCGUAAAACUCUGUUGUUAGAGAAGAACAAGGAUGAGAGUAACUGUUCAUCCCUUGACGGUAUCUAACCAGAAAGCCACGGCUAACUACGUGCCAGCAGCCGCGGUAAUACGUAGGUGGCAAGCGUUGUCCGGAUUUAUUGGGCGUAAAGCGAGCGCAGGCGGUUUCUUAAGUCUGAUGUGAAAGCCCCCGGCUCAACCGGGGAGGGUCAUUGGAAACUGGGAGACUUGAGUGCAGAAGAGGAGAGUGGAAUUCCAUGUGUAGCGGUGAAAUGCGUAGAUAUAUGGAGGAACACCAGUGGCGAAGGCGGCUCUC